rnacentral:rRNA from 1 species
UCAUGCAAGUCGAGCGAGCGGAACCAACAGAUUUACUUCGGUAAUGACGUUGGGAAAGCGAGCGGCGGAUGGGUGAGUAACACGUGGGGAACCUGCCCCUAAGUCUGGGAUACCAUUUGGAAACAGGUGCUAAUACCGGAUAAUAAAGCAGAUCGCAUGAUCAGCUUUUGAAAGGCGGCGUAAGCUGUCGCUAAGGGAUGGCCCCGCGGUGCAUUAGCUAGUUGGUAGGGUAACGGCCUACCAAGGCAAUGAUGCAUAGCCGAGUUGAGAGACUGAUCGGCCACAAUGGAACUGAGACACGGUCCAUACUCCUACGGGAGGCAGCAGUAGGGAAUCUUCCACAAUGGGCGCAAGCCUGAUGGAGCAACACCGCGUGAGUGAAGAAGGGUUUCGGCUCGUAAAACUCUGUUGUUGAAGAAGAACGUGCAUGAGAGUAACUGUUCAUGCAGUGACGGUAUUCAACCAGAAAGUCACGGCUAACUAC